GAUGAACGCUGGCGGCGUGCCUAAUACAUGCAAGUCGAGCGAACAGACGAGGAGCUUGCUCCUCUGACGUUAGCGGCGGACGGGUGAGUAACACGUGGAUAACCUACCUAUAAGACUGGGAUAACUUCGGGAAACCGGAGCUAAUACCGGAUAAUAUAUUGAACCGCAUGGUUCAAUAGUGAAAGACGGUUUUGCUGUCACUUAUAGAUGGAUCCGCGCCGCAUUAGCUAGUUGGUAAGGUAACGGCUUACCAAGGCAAUGACGCGUAGCCGACCUGAGAGGGUGAUCGGCCACACUGGAACUGAGACACGGUCCAGACUCCUACGGGAGGCAGCAGUAGGGAAUCUUCCGCAAUGGGCGAAAGCUUGACGGAGCAACGCCGCGUGAGUGAUGAAGGUCUUCGGAUCGUAAAACUCUGUUAUUAGGGAAGAACAAAUGUGUAAGUAACUAUGCACGUCUUGACGGUACCUAAUCAGAAAGCCACGGCUAACUACGUG
rnacentral:rRNA from 1 species